rnacentral:rRNA from 1 species
GAUGAACGCUGGCGGCGUGCCUAAUACAUGCAAGUCGAGCGAACAGACGAGGAGCUUGCUCCUCUGACGUUAGCGGCGCACGGGUGAGUAACACGUGGAUAACCCACCUAUAAGACUGGGAUAACUUCGGGAAACCGGAGCUAAUACCGGAUCAUAUAUUGAACCGCAUGGUUCAAUAGUGAAAGACGGUUUUGCUGUCACUUAUAGAUGGAUCCGCGCCGCAUUAGCUAGUUGGUAAGGUAACGGCUUACCAAGGCAACGAUGCGUAGCCGACCUGAGAGGGUGAUCGGCCACACUGGAACUGAGACACGGUCCAGACUCCUGCGGGACGCAGCAGUAGGGAAUCGUGCGCAAUGGGCGAAAGCCUGACGGAGCAACGCCGCGUGAGUGAUGAAGGUCUUCGGAUCGUAAAACUCUGUUAUUAGGGAAGAACAAAUGUGUAAGUAACUAUGCACGUCUUGACGGUACCUAAUCAGAAAGCCACGGCUAACUACGUG